rnacentral:rRNA from 1 species
CAGUAGCCGCGGUAAUACAGAGGGUGCGAGCGUUAAUCGGAUUUACUGGGCGUAAAGCGUGCGUAGGCGGCUAAUUGAGUCGGAUGUGAAAUCCCCGAGCUUAACUUGGGAAUUGCAUUCGAUACUGGUUAGCUAGAGUGUGGGAGAGGAUGGUAUAAUUCCAGGUGUAGCGGUGAAAUGCGUAGAGAUCUUGAGGAAUACCGAUGGCGAAGGCAGCCAUCUGGCCUAACACUGACGCUGAGGUACGAAAGCAUGGGGAGCAAACAGGAUUAGAUACCCCCGUAGUCCCUGUCUCUUAUAC